UACGAAGGGGGCUAGCGUUACUCGGAAUUACUGGGCGUAAAGGGCGCGCAGGCGGCCAUUCAAGUCGGAGGUGAAAUCCCAGGGCUCAACCCUGGAAUUGCCUUCGAUACUGUUUGGCUAGAGAGCGGAAGAGGUAAGUGGAACUGCGAGUGUAGCGGUGAAAUUCGUAGAUAUUCGCAAGAACACCAGUGGCGAAGGCGGCUUACUGGUCCGGUUCUGACGCUCAGGCACGAAAGCGUGGGGAGCAAACAGG
rnacentral:rRNA from 1 species